rnacentral:rRNA from 1 species
UACGUAGGGUGCAAGCGUUAAUCGGAAUUACUGGGCGUAAAGCGCGCGCAGGCGGAUUGGUCAGUCCGGGGUGAAAUCUCACGGCUCAACUGUGAGCGGUCCCCGGAUACUGCCAGUCUCGAGGUGUCUAGAGGAGAGCGGAAUUCCCGGUGUAGUGGUGGAAUGCGUAGAUAUCGGGAAAGAACACCAGUGGCGGAAAGACG